CGAUGAGUAGGGCGGGACACGUGGUAUCCUGUCUGAAUAUGGGGGGACCAUCCUCCAAGGCUAAAUACUCCUGACUGACCGAUAGUGAACCAGUACCGUGAGGGAAAGGCGAAAAGAACCCCGGCGAGGGGAGUGAAAAAGAACCUGAAACCGUGUACGUACAAGCAGUGGGAGCCUCUUUUAUGGGGUGACUGCGUACCUUUUGUAUAAUGGGUCAGCGACUUAUAUUCUGUAGCAAGGUUAACCGAAUAGGGGAGCCGAAGGGAAACCGAGUCUUAACUGGGCGUUAAGUUGCAGGGUAUAGACCCGAAACCCGGUGAUCUAGCCAUGGGCAGGUUGAAGGUUGGGUAACACUAACUGGAGGACCGAACCGACUAAUGUUGAAAAAUUAGCGGAUGACUUGUGGCUGGGGGUGAAAGGCCAAUCAAACCGGGAGAUAGCUGGUUCUCCCCGAAAGCUAUUUAGGUAGCGCCUCGUGAAUUCAUCUCCGGGGGUAGAGCACUGUUUCGGCAAGGGGGUCAUCCCGACUUACCAACCCGAUGCAAACUGCGAAUACCGGAGAAUGUUAUCACGGGAGACACACGGCGGGUGCUAACGUCCGUCGUGAAGAGGGAAACAACCCAGACCGCCAGCUAAGGUCCCAAAGUCAUGGUUAAGUGGGAAACGAUGUGGGAAGGCCCAGACAGCCAGGAUGUUGGCUUAGAAGCAGCCAUCAUUUAAAGAAAGCGUAAUAGCUCACUGGUCGAGUCGGCCUGCGCGGAAGAUGUAACGGGGCUAAACCAUGCACCGAAGCUGCGGCAGCGACGCUUAUGCGUUGUUGGGUAGGGGAGCGUUCUGUAAGCCUGUGAAGGUGUGCUGUGAGGCAUGCUGGAGGUAUCAGAAGUGCGAAUGCUGACAUAAGUAACGAUAAAGCGGGUGAAAAGCCCGCUCGCCGGAAGACCAAGGGUUCCUGUCCAACGUUAAUCGGGGCAGGGUGAGUCGACCCCUAAGGCGAGGCCGAAAGGCGUAGUCGAUGGGAAACAGGUUAAUAUUCCUGUACUUGGUGUUACUGCGAAGGGGGGACGGAGAAGGCUAUGUUGGCCGGGCGACGGUUGUCCCGGUUUAAGCGUGUAGGCUGGUUUUCCAGGCAAAUCCGGAAAAUCAAGGCUGAGGCGUGAUGACGAGGCACUACGGUGCUGAAGCAACAAAUGCCCUGCUUCCAGGAAAAGCCUCUAAGCAUCAGGUAACAUCAAAUCGUACCCCAAACCGACACAGGUGGUCAGGUAGAGAAUACCAAGGCGCUUGAGAGAACUCGGGUGAAGGAACUAGGCAAAAUGGUGCCGUAACUUCGGGAGAAGGCACGCUGAUAUGUAGGUGAAGUCCCUUGCGGAUGGAGCUGAAAUCAGUCGAAGAUACCAGCUGGCUGCAACUGUUUAUUAAAAACACAGCACUGUGCAAACACGAAAGUGGACGUAUACGGUGUGACGCCUGCCCGGUGCCGGAAGGUUAAUUGAUGGGGUCAGCGCAAGCGAAGCUCUUGAUCGAAGCCCCGGUAAACGGCGGCCGUAACUAUAACGGUCCUAAGGUAGCGAAAUUCCUUGUCGGGUAAGUUCCGACCUGCACGAAUGGCGUAAUGAUGGCCAGGCUGUCUCCACCCGAGACUCAGUGAAAUUGAACUCGCUGUGAAGAUGCAGUGUACCCGCGGCAAGACGGAAAGACCCCGUGAACCUUUACUAUAGCUUGACACUGAACAUUGAGCCUUGAUGUGUAGGAUAGGUGGGAGGCUUUGAAGUGUGGACGCCAGUCUGCAUGGAGCCGACCUUGAAAUACCACCCUU
rnacentral:rRNA from 1 species